UCGCGAAUAUUCCGCAAUGGGCGAAAGCCUGACGGAGCGACGCCGCGUGUGGGAUGAAGGCCUUCGGGUUGUAAACCACUGUCACGCGUUAUGGACACCGGGGAGACAAUAUCAAUCCGGAUGACAAAGGCGCGAGAGGAAGCCACGGCUAACUCUGUGCCAGCAGCCGCGGUAAGACAGAGGUGGCAAGCGUUGCUCGGAGUUACUGGGCAUAAAGGGCGCGUAGGCGGUCGUGCACGUCGAGGGUGAAAUCCCCGGGCUUAACCCGGGAACUGCCUUUGAUACGGCGCGACUCGAGUGCGGGAGGGGAGAGUGGAACUCCUGGUGGAGCGGUGAAAUGCGUAGAUAUCAGGAGGAACGCCGGUGGCGAAAGCGACUCUCUGGUCCGCAACUGACGCUGAGGCGCGAAAGCUAGGGGAGCAAACGGGAUUAGAUACCCAUGUAGUCCCUGAGCGGGCUGGCAAGGCGCAU
rnacentral:rRNA from 1 species